GAUGAACGCUAGCGGCAGGCUUAAUACAUGCAAGUCGAGGGGCAGCACGGUUAGCAAUAACUGGUGGCGACCGGCGCACGGGUGCGUAACACGUAUACAAUCUACCUUAAACAGGGGGAUAGCCUUUCGAAAGAGAGAUUAAUACCCGUAAUAAAUUGAACGGCAUCGUUUGAUUUUGAAAGCUCCGGCGGUUUGAGAUGAGUAUGCGUCUGAUUAGCUAGUUGGUGAGGUAACGGCUCACCAAGGCGACGAUCAGUAGGGGAUCUGAGAGGACUAACCCCCACACUGGUACUGAGACACGGACCAGACUCCUACGGGAGGCAGCAGUAAAGGAAUAUUGGUCAAUGGAGGCAACUCUGAACCAGCCAUGCCGCGUGCAGGAUGACGGCCCUAUGGGUUGUAAACUGCUUUUAUACAAGAGAAAACCCUGGUACGUGUACCAGGUUGAUAGUAUUGUAAGAAUAAGCAUCGGCUAAACUUCGUGCCAGCAGCCGCGGUAAU
rnacentral:rRNA from 1 species